ensembl:lncRNA
CACAGUUUCUGUCACACACUCAGACAACGUGAGUUCAGAAUCCGGUUGUCUUAAGUUAAACGCACUAAGAAACACCUGAACGAACAGAGACGGGCUGCUGUCCGGUAUCUGACUCGGGUCUCACUCUGAGCACAUCAUUGGUUCCGGUGACAUCCGUUACCAUACCGCACUGAUGACAUCUUAUUUAAUCACGCAGCAGACGACAAGACAAGAAACCUGUGCUAUCAGCCAAAGACACUACAUAAAAAAUAUGCAGCUCAGAAAGAGCAAGAAAGAAGGGGUACACUGCAGUGUUCACUCUUCUGUUUCACUGGGGACAUCAGGAACAGGUAAAAUUGGGAUCUUCUUCAUGGCUGGCUGCAUAAACAAUUGAACGCCUCCGAAGCUCAAACCGAGAAGAAUGUGAAGAAAUUGUAAUCAGCAACUGUUGAGUUAUUACUAUGCACCCACCUGUGGCACGUGUUUCAUCCUUCUGACGACUCUGGUAAAAGUCACCUUUUUCAUCCACCCAAACCUGUAUCCAGAGAUUAGAUCAGUGGAUUCACUUUUCCUGACAAACGCACUCUGACGGGCAUACAAACAGUCCUGCAUCCUCCAGCCGGUAGGGUUAGCGGAGCUGGCACCAGGGACUGGACACAUGGGGCGAGAGAGAAAGAGUUAGUGCUCAGCGGUCUUCUGGACCACUCAAUACAAAAUGUUCAUCCAAUCAGAGACCUCGCUUUUCUAUUCAGUUCCAGCUUUAGCUGAACCAUCAGUAGCAGAAAUAUAUAUAUAAAAACCCCAAACUCCCCUCCUCCACAUCACACAUGAUUCCUCUUUUUCACUAAACUACAAACAAAU